UACGUAGGUGGCGAGCGUUGUCCGGAUUUACUGGGCGUAAAGGGCGUGCAGGCGGUCUGUUAAGUCUAGGGUGAAAGCUCCCGGCUCAACUGGGAGAGGUCCUUGGAUACUGGCAGACUUGAGGAGAGUAGAGGAGAGUGGAAUUCCCGGUGUAGUGGUGAUAUGCGUAGAUAUCGGGAGGAACACCAGUGGCGAAGGCGGCUCUCUGGGCUCUACCUGACGCUGAGACGCGAAAGCGUGGGGAGCGAUCCGG
rnacentral:rRNA from 1 species